GUCCACGCCGUAACGAUGGAUGCUAGUCGUCGCGGGUAUUGACCCCUGCGGCAACGCAGUUAACGCAUUAAGCAUCCCGCCUGGGGAGUACGGCCGCAAGGCUAAACUCAAAGGAAUUGACGGGGCCCGCACAAGCGGUGGAGCAUGUGGUUCAAUUCGACGCAACGCGCAGAACCUUACCUGGGUUAAAUCCACCGGAAUCCCGCAGAGAUGUGGGAGUGCCCGCAAGGGAGCCGGUGAGAAGGUGCUGCAUGGCUGUCGU
rnacentral:rRNA from 1 species